CUGCCAAAGCGGAGGAAGGAACGGGCAACGGUAGGUCAUUAUGCCCCAAAUGAGCUGGGCUACACGCGGGCUACAAUGGCCGGGACAAUGGGAUGCUACCCCGAGAGGGGACGCUAAUCUCCUAAACCUGGUCGUAUUUCGGAUUGAGGGCUGAAACUCCCCCUCAUGAAGCUGGAUUCGGUAGUAAUCGCGUUUCAGGAGGGCGCGGUGAAUACUUCCCUGCUCCUUGCACAAC
rnacentral:rRNA from 1 species